rnacentral:tRNA from 1 species
GUUAAAAUGGCAGAAUGAUAAUGCAAAAGACUUAGGAUCUUUCCCUUGAGGGUUUGACUCCCUCUUUUAACU